rnacentral:lncRNA from 1 species
AUGUACAUUGCAAAAGAAACAUUGUUACACUUGGGAACCCGUAGUUUGAGAAAUCUACGUCCCUCUGGAAACAACUGGUUUUCAAUCCCAGGAAGAAUCACCGGAAGUGCCUUAAUAGGAAGGAUUCUCUUUUCCAGGAAUCCCAAGAAUACACCAGUGGAGCGUGAGGGCCACACACUCCCCUGGAAGCUGCCUCCUCCCCGCCCCGGGCAUUCCCCGGGUGGGCGGUCAGGCAGGCCCCGCGGCCGGCCUCAGGAUGCCCCGCUUCUCCGGGGUCGCGAGGGGACACCUGCUCUCCAGCCCCGGCCCACUGCGGCCUCCACCCACCUGUCCCGGUCCGCAGGCUGCGCGCGGGGCCGGCCCCUGCCUGGUCUCCAGCCCCCGGCGGCCGGGCCGAGCCGAGCGCCCCGGGCCGAGCAGGGCCGCCCCGCUGAGGCUCCGGAGCGGAGCCGCUUCCUCGAAGUCCUGCAGCCUCCCUCACUCGACGCUCGCUCCCCGCCCGGCGUCGACCCGCGGCUCGCACAACCCCCACCAAGGGGACUCGAAACCGCCGCCGGCCCCCAGGUCUCCAGCACACUUCCCGGAUUAAACCGGCCACCCACCCUCGGGCCCGGGAGACGCAAAGGGGUGGGGUCGGGAAUGGCCAGGUCCCCCGGGCCCAGCUGCCCCGCCCCGGCCGGCGAGCGGCCCCCUCGCUCCAACCCGCGCUCAGGACCCGGCACAGCCGGGCUGCGCCCCUCUCCCUGCGGACCCCCCAAAACUGGAUCCGGGGGGCUGAUCGCAGGAUUCCCGCUGCGCACGGACCUCCCGCCCCCUAAGAGCGAAAAGUUGCCCGCGCCGCCCGGGCGUCUGCAGCUUCGCGCGCUUCGGCCGAGGGAGCUGAUGGGCGGCUCCGGACGGCCCUCGAGGGAGGCCGCCCCCAGGCCAGCCCCGCGCCGCUGCCCCCCGGCCCGCGCGUCACAGCCCCCGAAGCCGGCCGCCCCGCUCACCUGCCGACGGCGGGACCGAGGAGCGCGCUCACCUGGCAGGCGCACCUGA